rnacentral:rRNA from 1 species
CUUUACUGUAGCUUUGCAUUGGACUUUGACGGGACUUGUGUAGGAUAGGUGGGAGGCUUUGAAACCGGGACGCCAGUUCCGGUGGAGCCAACCUUGAAAUACCACCCUGGUGUCGUCGAGGUUCUAACCCAGGCCUGUGAAUCCAGGUCGGGGACCGUGCAUGGUGGGCAGUUUGACUGGGGCGGUCUCCUCCCAAAAGGUAACGGAGGAGUACGAAGGUCACCUAGGUACGGUCGGACAUCGUACUGAUAGUGCAAUGGCAAAAGGUGGCUUGACUGCGAGACCCACAAGUCGAGCAGGUGCGAAAGCAGGUCAUAGUGAUCCGGUGGUUCUGUAUGGAAGGGCCAUCGCUCAACGGAUAAAAGGUA